rnacentral:rRNA from 1 species
UGGUGGAGUGAUUUGUCUGCUUAAUUGCGAUAACGAACGAGACCUCGGCCCUUAAAUAGCCCGGUCCGCAUUUGCGGGCUGCUGGCUUCUUAGGGGGACUAUCGGCUCAAGCCGAUGGAAGUACGUGGCAAUAACA